UACGUAGGGACCGAGCGUUGUCCGGAUUCAUUGGGCGUAAAGAGCUCGUAGGCGGCCACUCAAGUCGAAUGUGAAACCUCGAGGCUUAACCUCGAGCCUGCAUUCGAUACUGGGCGGCUAGAGUCUGGUAGGGGGAUCUGGAAUUCCUGGUGUAGCGGUGGAAUGCGCAGAUAUCAGGAGGAACACCGGUGGCGAAGGCGGCAUCCUGGACCGACAUUGACGCUGAGGCGCGAAAGCCAGGGGAGCAAACGGG
rnacentral:rRNA from 1 species